AAAAAGGCAAAAAAAAA
rnacentral:sRNA from 1 species